GCUCUAGGGGUAGGCUAAGAAGUCUUCAAGAAUACGUCAGGAAAUUUAUUAACAAUAGAAAUAUCAUUCAAAACUGUGACUCUCGUCCAAGACUUGGAUAACACAUCACAUUGAUACCUAUUAACUUGUCACCGUUAUUCACAACGUCCCCUACAGAAAGUUCAGCUUCGGUGCAUUCCACACAAGGAAGUCAACAACGAAAGGAUCGGGGCUCUUUACUUAUGGCUUGAUAUGACAAUGAUUGACUUUAGUGGUUUGGUUGCAUGAAUUCGCAUAACAGGUUGGUUAGGAGUACGAAAGCUAACAACCUUACAAAAAGCAUGAUAAGUAGUUAACCAAUCAAUUCCUAAAAUCACAUCAAAGGCAAGUAUUUUCAAAGAGAUACGAUCGACAGGUAACGUGAAAGUGUUGAUUUGAACAAGAUUUAUAAAUAGUGGAGGUAACGAAGGUUUCUACUAUCGAAGUUUCAACCAAUAAGUCAAAGUCUAAUUUCUCUGAAGUCAAAUUUAAACGUUGAGCGCAAGCAAGAGAGAUAAAAUAAUAGGUAGAACCGGUAUCGAAUAAGGUAUAGACUUCGCAAGAGUUUAUAAUUAACUAACCCGUGAUAACUUCGUUCCGUCACAGCUGAAUUCCUUCAUUAUUUCUUACGAAUUCACUGAAACUCUAAAGAGAGAAACUAUAGGGAGAAAGAAGAAAAGUAUUCUGCUACUUCACUACACCAGUAUUCAGUUUUUCUAAGGUAGGGAAUAUUAUUU
rnacentral:lncRNA from 1 species